UAAAAUUUUUUUUAAAAGCUAGUGGAUCAACCCUGCUUUUUAUCAUAUAUAAACAUAAAUUUUUAAUAGGUUAAAUAUAUAAAUGUGAAAAGCUGUUCUUGGAAUUUUAAAGAGGAAUAUAGGAGGGCAUCUUUAUUUCAUUUGUUGUUUUGAUUUGUUUAAACAGGAUCUCACCAUAUGGCCCAGGAUAGUCUUGAACUGAAAUUCUCUCCCCCCCCCCAAGUUCUAGGAUUCUAAGUAUAUGCUAUCAGCCUGGGGGAGAGCAUUUUUAUUGCCUCAGCCUGUGGACAAAUUCUAUAAAUUAAAGACAAGAGUAAAAUAUGAAGGGCAGUGAUAAGGUUGUCCACACUGAAGUUUAAAACUUUGUGAAGAAUAUUUAAAACUGGAAAAGGUGAGCUAUAGACUCAUAUUUUCAGUGCAUACCAAGGUCUUCAAAGAUCUGAGAUAGCCUGGAUAGCUAAGAACUUCUAUUCUCCACAACCCCAGUCAAUUAAAACGUUCUGUGAGAAAAGUACCCCAAGAUCAAUAACUGUGCGUGCGCCAACGUGUGCUUAUGCAGAGACCAUGGGCUGACAUCUGGUGUCUUCCUCCAUGGCUCCACCCCCCCUUUUUAAAUAAAAGAUAGUCUCUUAGUGAAAUUGGAGGAGGUCACUGUUUUGGAUAGAUUGGUUAACCCAUGAGUCCCUGGGAUCCUGAGAUUGGAUUUAUAUGUGAGUGCUGGGGAUUCGAACUCAGGUUCUCAAGUUUGUGUACCAAGUACUUUACACAGAGCAAUUUCCCAAUCUGUCUGUGUCGAUAUUUCUUAGAGAUUUGCCUCUAACCUCUAUCAAAGCUGAUCCGGAGGUAAAAAUUAGUCUAAGUCCAGCAUUCAAGUCCCACCUCAGACAAAACAGUGAUAAAAACAGAAAUCCUGGGGGUAGAAUCCAGGGCCUCCAGGCUCUCCUGAAAUCAGCAGCUCCAGCUGCUGUCUGGUGCCACAGAGCCUGGCAAAUCCCCAGAGCCAGAUGCAGGGCUGUCCCCUGGUACAGCUUUUGUUCUCUUCCCUAACAGGAGGGCCACACCUAUUUCCCCUGGCAUACUUCUGAGCAGAUGGGCACUUAAGUGCCAGGGCUCCGGGAUAUACAACAAGGACCUAGAGUCUUGGCCGCAGAGGAUCAGAAGCUUUGCCUCAACAUCUCAAGCUAUUUGUGCCCAAAGGCUAUUCUCCACAGCACAGUCAAUCACAACGUCCUGUGAGAAAAGUAUCCCAAGGUACUCAAGGUGCCACGGUGUAUACUCAGGACAGAGUGUUCAGAACCUGGAUUUUGUUUGUGUUUGAAUCUUAAAGACUGCUUCAUGCAUUAUAUUUA